rnacentral:rRNA from 1 species
AUUGAACGCUGGCGGCAGGCUUAACACAUGCAAGUCGAACGAGUGGCGGACGGGUGAGUAAUGCUUGGGAAUCUGGCUUAUGGAGGGGGAUAACGACGGGAAACUGUCGCUAAUACCGCGUACCCUAGGAUGAGCCCAAGUGGGAUUAGGUAGUUGGUGGGGUAAUGGCCUACCAAGCCGACGAUCUCUAACUGGUCUGAGAGGAUGACCAGCCACACGGGGCCUGCGGCACGGCCCGGACUCCUACGGGAGUCAGCAGUGGGGAAUAUUGCGCAAGUGGGGAAACCUUACGCAGCCAUGCCGCGUGAAUGAAGAAGGCCUUCGGGUUGUAAAGUUUUUUCGGUGACGAGGCGUUAAUCACAGAAGAAGCACCGGCUAACUCCGUGCCAGCAGCCGCGGUAAUUC